rnacentral:rRNA from 1 species
GACAGAGGGUGCAAACGUUGCUCGGAAUCACUGGGCGUAAAGGGCGUGUAGGCGGGACGGUAAGUCGGGCGUGAAAUCCCUAGGCUCAACCUAGGAACUGCACUCGAAACUACCAUUCUUGAGUGUCGGAGAGGAAAGCGGAAUUCCUGGUGUAGAGGUGAAAUUCGUAGAUAUCAGGAGGAACACCAGUGGCGAAGGCGGCUUUCUGGGCCUUACCUGACGCUGAGGAGCGAAAGCGUGGGGAGCGAACAGG